rnacentral:rRNA from 1 species
GAUGAACGCUGGCGGCGUGCCUAAUACAUGCAAGUCGAGCGAACGGACGAGAAGCUUGCUUCUCUGAUGUUAGCGGCGGACGGGUGAGUAACACGUGGAUAACCUACCUAUAAGACUGGGAUAACUUCGGGAAACCAGAGCUAAUACCGGAUAAUAUUUUGAACCGCAUGGUUCAAAAGUGAAAGACGGUCUUGCUGUCACUUAUAGAUGGAUCCGCGCUGCAUUAGCUAGUUGGUAAGGUAACGGCUUACCAAGGCAACGAUGCAUAGCCGACCUGAGAGGGUGAUCGGCCACACUGGAACUGAGACACGGUCCAGACUCCUACGGGAGGCAGCAGUAGGGAAUCUUCCGCAAUGGGCGAAAGCCUGACGGAGCAACGCCGCGGGAGUGAUGAAGGUCUUCGGAUCGUAAAACUCUGUUAUUAGGGAAGAACAUAUGUGUAAGUAACUGUGCACAUCUUGACGGUACCUAAUCAGAAAGCCACGGCUAACUACGUG